GAGGAGAAUCAGGGAAGAUCUAGAACGAGGACCAAGAACAAAGGACCCAAAUUUCCAACUCCCUGCAGCAGAAGAUGACCAAUUUAUUUCGUAUUUUGUCUUUUCUACAUGAUGUAAGACUCUGAAACACUUCUGUUAGAUAAUCUCCUAUUGUAUGUUAUUGAAAUAAAUAUCCAGUCUACAAAGGAUUUGGACUUCAGACAUUUCUGCUUUCCCUGUGCUUAACCACCCUCGCUAAAAUAGACAUACAAUUUAUGGGCUGGAGGGACCUUGCGCUGAACAUUGUAGUCACAAAGGACGCAGUUACACCAAAUAAUCGCCAGGAGACCCCAAAAAUAAAGCACAUUACAAGAAACCUGGAGGAAUUCAACAUCUGGUUCCAUAACUUACAAAGUAUUUUUUUCUUCAUAAGAUCUCUGGAAUCCUCUCGAGUCGGGGAGACAGCUGUUUCAUCCCCCUCCCCGAGCACGCUGCUGAGCCCGAACCAGAAAACCAGGCGCCCACUAGGAAGAGCAGAACAGUCAGUUAACACCAAUGAGGUUCAAGAGACAACAUGGAGGCUUUGGACUUGCUUUUGAAUGCAGAAGUUUGCUAUUAAAACAGCUUGCCAUACCGUCAUCUAUCAGAGAUUAGCUAGCCACAACUUCCUCUUUUCACUUAUGCGUCGAUGAUGGAAGUUAACAUUAAUACACAAACCACAUGUCAACCCUAACGGAAGUCUGUGAACCAACAAAGCUGGGACUUCAAAAGAACGCUCAAGCUGCACGGAACACAAAAGAGGGUUCAUUAAAGUAGCCUACUCCACAACAGAGGACUAUCGGGGACGUUUUCAUCAUGGGUGUGAUUUAUUAGUCUUUCUGUUUCUUUCUGCUGAAAUAUUGGUUCGAUUUCCUCUCUUGGCAUUUUCAAUAUAGUCUUGUGCGGGUGUUUACCUGAAGGUGACCACAUGUCCUUCCCCAAACUGGACCGGAUCGGAUGCCAGGUCUGCCUCGAAAACUUUCCCGAUAUCAUUCAAUUUAAGACACACCUCCGAGGCAAUGAGCACCAUAAGCAAAUGGUGGAGCUCUUCCCAAAAGGUACCCCGUUG